rnacentral:misc_RNA from 1 species
AUACACAUCAACGCCUCUGUAUAAUAAACAUAUGAAUGGGGUGAUUGGCAUUUGUAGAAUCACUGAUCUCAAACUUCUUAUACCUUUCAGACACCAAAUAUUUCAAUGGCUUGCUUACCAUGUGAACAAAAGUAUCCCCACCAUCCAACUGUCUCCGUGAAUCGAUUCAUCAAAAAACUAAAUGGAGGAGAACCUUAAAGAGUUUAAACAGUCGAGACAGCAGAAACUAGGAACUGAAGUGAAUUGAAUCCGUUUAAAGAACAUCAAUGUUUUUCCAAUACAAAAUGGUAAAGCUUGCAAGCAAUACAAAUGAAGCAGCUAAGGGCAACAUGUCCCAAAUCCUUGCUUUGAAAUGCUAGAAAUGCAGAGUAUUGCAUGAUUCGUCACUGGCUUUCUCUCACUAACUCUAAAUCCUCUCAAUCCCCAUAUCAUCCAACCUCUUACAUUUCCUAACUGAAAUAUUGAUCAUAACAGUCAAUCGCCUAUCUUCAACCACAGUAA